rnacentral:rRNA from 1 species
AUUGAACGCUGGCGGCAUGCCUUACACAUGCAAGUCGAACGGUAACGGGUCCUUCGGGAUGCCGACGAGUGGCGAACGGGUGAGUAAUAUAUCGGAACGUGCCCAGUAGUGGGGGAUAACUGCUCGAAAGAGCAGCUAAUACCGCAUACGACCUGAGGGUGAAAGGGGGGGAUCGCAAGGCCUCUCGCUAUUGGAGCGGCCGAUAUCAGAUUAGCUAGUUGGUGGGGUAAAGGCCUACCAAGGCAACGAUCUGUAGUUGGUCUGAGAGGACGACCAGCCACACUGGGACUGAGACACGGCCCAGACUCCUACGGGAGGCAGCAGUGGGGAAUUUUGGACAAUGGGCGCAAGCCUGAUCCAGCAAUGCCGCGUGCAGGAAGAAGGCCUUCGGGUUGUAAACUGCUUUUGUCAGGGAAGAAAUCUUCUGGGCUAAUACCCCGGGAGGAUGACGGUACCUGAAGAAUAAGCACCGGCUAACUACGUGCCAGCAGCCGCGGUAAUACGUAGGGUGCGAGCGUUAAUCGGAAUUACUGGGCGUAAAGCGUGCGCAGGCGGCUUUGCAAGACAGAUGUGAAAUCCCCGGGCUCAACCUGGGAACUGCAUUUGUGACUGCAAGGCUAGAGUACGGCAGAGGGGGGUGGAAUUCCGCGUGUAGCAGUGAAAUGCGUAGAUAUGCGGAGGAACACCAAUGGCGAAAGCAAUCCCCUGGGCCUGUACUGACGCUCAUGCACGAAAGCGUGGGGAGCAAACAGGAUUAGAUACCCUGGUAGUCCACGCCCUAAACGAUGUCAACUGGUUGUUGGACGGCUUGCUGUUCAGUAACGAAGCUAACGCGUGAAGUUGACCGCCUGGGGAGUACGGCCGCAAGGUUGAAACUCAAAGGGAUUGACGGGGACCCGCACAAGCGGUGGAUGAUGUGGUUUAAUUCGAUGCAACGCGAAAAACCUUACCUACCCUUGACAUGUCAAGAAUUCUGCAGAGAUGUGGAAGUGCUCGAAAGAGAACUUGAACACAGGUGCUGCAUGGCCGUCGUCAGCUCGUGUCGUGAGAUGUUGGGUUAAGUCCCGCAACGAGCGCAACCCUUGUCAUUAGUUGCUACGCAAGAGCACUCUAAUGAGACUGCCGGUGACAAACCGGAGGAAGGUGGGGAUGACGUCAGGUCCUCAUGGCCCUUAUGGGUAGGGCUACACACGUCAUACAAUGGCCGGUACAGAGGGCUGCCAACCCGCGAGGGGGAGCCAAUCCCAGAAAACCGGUCGUAGUCCGGAUCGUAGUCUGCAACUCGACUGCGUGAAGUCGGAAUCGCUAGUAAUCGCGGAUCAGCUUGCCGCGGUGAAUACGUUCCCGGGUCU